UGUUACGCCUACACCAAGCCCACUUCAGACCAUAAAAAUCGUCGAUCUACUCUAUCCGUCAACUUCGUCUUCUCCGUUUCCUCCUCUGCCAUAAAUAGUCAUUUGUGUUAUUAACUCACUUUUAAUGAUUUCGUUUCACCUCCCUCUUUCUCCUUCUUUAUAAACGGCUUCGUCUCUCCCCUGUCUCCACUGGCAUGUUUCCCAUCAGUGAGAAGAAAGAGAAAAAUAUUAUGCGUACCCUUUUGUGAACGAAUUUACUCCCGAAAAGAACAAUGCUUUCCAUGAGUCAUCACAUAUCUGAGUAUGAUAUGGGAGAAGAAGGAGAUCUAUUCAAAGCUCUUGAAGAGGCAUAGUCUUAUCAACUCUCAGCUUCUUUAACAAUGAUCUAUUGCGGCAAAGACUCUGCACGAGCUUUGUGACAAAGCCUUUGAUGAAUGGGAGCAAGAUCGCAUGGUGAAAUCAGCUACCAAAUCUCAACGCUGUGGUUUUUCAGACAUAAAGAACAUAGUUGUCAUGACAAUGGCAACAAUCGCCGAGAACCAGUAUAUGCAGAAGAGCGUAAGCUCGGCGAACUCUAUGGAUUGGUCGCACGCACAGCAAUAGGCUGUUAUGAUUCAUGUUACCCUGAUCUUGCUCAGUUGGAUUUUGGUUCUCUUUCUAGGAUGCGAUGAGCCUUUAGUGAAGCUGACAUAAAUAUGAAUUAUUGAUUAGGCGGUAUUAUUAGUUGUAAUUGAAAAGAUCAACAGGUUAUGUUUCCUAUACACAGGAACAAGAAGAGCAAGCAAAAUUUCAGGCGCAAAAUCAAGGUACACAAACAAAACACCUAUCCUUUAAAAUGAUCUAAGAAGUCAUUUUCUUAACUCAAGAUUGUUUGGUUUGGUGCUGCACUCUAAAGCCAUUGCGUCGUCAUCUUAUGUUAACGAUCUUCUUGCUUCUGGUGACUCCUGACAUGUAAAUUUCUUCUAAGCUUUGCCAUGUUUUUGCACAUCACAAAUAUGCAAUCUUCUCCACCAAGUCAAAUUCUUAUUCUUUCUGGUUAGCACGCACGGAUGCUCCCAAAACCAAAUCAUUUACUGGAAAUACCUAACCAUCUCCAAAUUAUGUACGUUGCGGUCUCACCUGAUGGACAAACUAUUGUAAACAGAGUAGGAGAUGAACCUUAAGGUUCUGGAAUGUCUUCCCGUCCAUGAAAGCCCAGGAGCUGGUUCAGCGCAGCGGAUUCGACAGGACAGCAUCGGCAUUCUCAUCGGCCCCACUAGACAACCCCACCGCCGAUCACCAGGUUUGCUUUUAUUCCUUAAAAAUAACUCAAAUAAGCAGUCAAUUGAAACUCCUUCAGAAGCUUUUGUGUCUUCUACUCUAUAUGAACUUCAAAAGGAGAUAGCUGGUGUACCUGUUUAGAGUCGUCUAUAUGAGGUACCAUCGUUCUUUGCAGUGUUAAAUUUGCGUGUAAAUGUUCACAUGUUGAACCUUUAAAGUCCUUAUAUCCAAUCUAUGUUUCUGACAUGUUGAACUUGGUGAGGAGGUAUUGUUUCCCGUGAACUGGAAUAGAGAUAGUUGGUCUGUGCUUAGAGGCCAGUAACAUUAAACAGUUGGAGAUUUCAUUUCGUAACAAGGUUAGAAGUCUUCCACUAGAGUAUCGACUAAUGAUCCAAAUUUUACUAGAAGAACUAUUAAAAAAGUAUCCACCUGUUGCUUUUUACCGUAUUGAGUUUUUCGAUUUUAAGAUUCACAUAUAACCUAAGCUAUGUUGUUGAGAACACCUGUAUGGGUGAUGAUAACACAAUAGAUCAGUUUCGUUUGGAUUGUUUUUCACACACGUCUGGCGCCGAAGGAGGUUUCAACCCUCUUGGAUUUUUGCAGGUUCCAGGUAUAACUGUAUAAGUGAGUUAUUUGUAAAAAAAACUGUAAUAUUCUUUUCAGCUGAAUGAUUAGAUAGAUAGUAAUACUGUACUAAGUUGUCAUUGUAGGAUUAGAUGAUAUCUUUACUAGGGACGAUGAUACUUGGGAAGCUUGGCUCAGUGUUGAUCCCUCUUAGCUCCCCACUGCUACGACGUUGUCAAUGUUUGAUUAUUUUCAUAAGCAAAAGAAAUUUGGGAUUACACAUAUGUUGUUAGUCCUAAUGCUAAAAUAAUAAAAUCAACAUUUUUAUGAUUA